rnacentral:rRNA from 1 species
AUGAACGCUGGCGGCGUGCCUAAUACCUGCAAGUCGAGCGAACAGACGAGGAGCUUGCUCCUCUGACGUUAGCGGCGGACGGGUGAGUAACACGUGGAUAACCUACCUAUAAGACUGGGAUAACUUCGGGAAACCGGAGCUAAUACCGGAUAAUAUAUUGAACCGCAUGGUUCAAUAGUGAAAGACGGUUUUGCUGUCACUUAUAGAUGGAUCCGCGCCGCAUUAGCUAGUUGGUAAGGUAACGGCUUACCAAGGCAACGAUGCGUAGCCGACCUGAGAGGGUGAUCGGCCACACUGGAACUGAGACACGGUCCAGACUCCUACGGGGGGCAGCAGUAGGGAAUCUUCCGCAAUGGGCGAAAGCCUGACGGAGCAACGCCGCGUGAGUGAUGAAGGUCUUCGGAUCGUAAAACUCUGUUAUUAGGGAAGAACAAAUGUGUAAGUAACUAUGCACGUCUUGACGGUACCUAAUCAGAAAGCCACGGCUAACUACGUG